rnacentral:lncRNA from 1 species
AAAUCUCGCCAGAAAAUUUCACCGCCUCCAACAGUAACCGCGCGUGGGCCACACGCGCCGCCAGUGGCAUUUUCGUAAAUUUCGGAGAAAUUCAAGGGUAUUUCAUUAUUUUGCCUAUACAGUGGCACUCAGGUAAUUUUUUGGGGUUUCUACUGGUAUUUUUGAUAUUUUUUAUAUAUAUAAAUGCUUGUAAAUUUUCUUGCAUGUUGUAAAAAAUACAAAAACCAAAGUCGACACGUCUCUUUUU